rnacentral:rRNA from 1 species
AGUGAACGCUGGCGGUAGGCCUAACACAUGCAAGUCGAACGGCAGCACAGUAAGAGCUUGCUCUUACGGGUGGCGAGUGGCGGACGGGUGAGGAAUACAUCGGAAUCUACUUUUUCGUGGGGGAUAACGUUGGGAAACUUACGCUAAUACCGCAUACGACCUACGGGUGAAAGCAGGGGAUCUUCGGACCUUGCGCGAUUGAAUGAGCCGAUGUCGGAUUAGCUAGUUGGCGGGGUAAAGGCCCACCAAGGCGACGAUCCGUAGCUGGUCUGAGAGGAUGAUCAGCCACACUGGAACUGAGACACGGUCCAGACUCCUAAGGGAGGCAGCAGUGGGGAAUAUUGGACAAUGGGCGCAAGCCUGAACCAGCCAUACCGCGUGGGUGAAGAAGGCAUUCGGGUUGUAAAGCCCUUUUGUUGGGGAAGAAAAGCAGCAGGUUAAUACCCCGCUGUUCUGACGGUACCCAAAGAAUAAGCACCGGCUAACUUCGUG